CCUGCCCAUUUGACGUCACUUCCGACACCGGUUCCGCGGCGUCUGCGCCGCCGGUCCUGUAGCCGCGGUGGGUAUGCUGAGCCGGGUGAGUGGAGUCUCCGCGAGUCUCGCGGAGGGGAUCCGAGAGGAUGUGGGGGCAGCAACAUGGAAAGGGAAGGUGGGAAGCCUGCGGCUGUUGUCGCGGUUGUGACUGAGCCUCGGUUUACCCAGCGAUACAGGGAAUAUCUCGAGAAGCAGAAACUCCUGGACAGACGGCACCGUGUAGAGAAGAUGCCGGAUGGCACGGUGGCGCUGCCGGUGCGGGGAGAGACUCUCCCGGAGCAGCACCUGCACGAGCUGAGGGAUCGUGUGGCUCCCGGCAGCACCUGUACAGUGACGCAGCUCCUGCAUCCUGUCCCCUCAAAGGCGGCCCAGGGUUGCUCACCUGCCCAAAGGCUGUGUCUUGAAGUGAGUCGCUGGGUAGAGGGCCGGGGAGUGACGUGGUCAGCUGAGUUGGAGGCUGAUUUGCCCCGAUCUUGGCAACGACAUGGCGACCUCUUGUUGCUGAGCGAGGACUGUUUCCAAGCCAAGCGAUGGAAACAUCUGGAACCAGAACUCUGGGAGACUGUUGCGUCGGCACUUGGCGUCCGUCGUGUGGCCAAACGAGGGCGGGUAUCCCCAGAUGGCGCUCGAACGCCAGCAGUGACUCUGCUGUUGGGCGACCAUGGCUGGGUAGAGCAUGUGGAUAAUGGGAUCCGGUAUAAGUUUGACGUGACCCGGUGCAUGUUCUCCUUCGGAAACAUCACUGAGAAGCUUCGAGUGGCAUCGCUGCCCUGUGCUGGAGAAGUGCUGGUGGAUCUCUAUGCAGGGAUUGGUUAUUUUACAUUGCCCUUCCUCGUCCAUGCUGGCGCUGCGUUCGUCCAUGCCUGCGAGUGGAACCCCCACGCUGUAGCUGCGCUGAGAAAGAACCUUGAUAUCAAUGGAGUGGCAGAUCGGUGCAAAAUACACUUUGGGGAUAACAGAAAACUGAAGCUCUCAAACAUUGCAGACCGGGUGAACCUGGGGCUGAUUCCCAGUUCUGAAGAAGGCUGGCCCAUUGCCUGCCAAGUGCUGCGGCACGAUGCUGGGGGCAUUUUGCAUAUCCACCAAAAUGUGGAAUCUUACCCAGGCAAGAACCACCAGCCUCCGGGAAGCAGUGAAAUGGAGAAGGAACAUUGGCCUUAUCCUCAGCAAAUGAUCACCAACCAUUGUACAAAUGGAGCAACCAGGGAUUCUAGGGGGAAAAGGCUAUCAGCAGCCACCAAACCAGAAUGGCAGAGGUGGGCCGAAUCUGCAGAAACUCGUCUUGCCACCCUUCUUCAGCAGGUGCACGGGACACCAUGGAAGACACAAAUCCUGCACAUCCAGCCAGUGAAAUCCUAUGCUCCCCACGUGGAUCACAUAGUGUUGGAUUUGGAAUGCCGCCCCUGUCCUCUAGUUGGCUAGAGAAGGUGGAUCCUGAGACACAAGGAUCUACAUGUGAGUGACCCUUAAUACAUAAGUUUAGGCGGGGUUCUCACCUCUCUUUUCUCCUGGCAGCCUAUUUUAAUAUUUUGUGUCCCUGAAAGCAGGCUCUAGAUCAGUACAAGUCAUCUUGUUUGUCUUCCAUUAUCACAAUGAGAAUGAACUGCAUAUCGGGGAGAAGCAGUAUGGCUCCCUGAAAUGAGGUCUGUACAGUGAAUUCUGACCUCAGUCCUGUCUUACCUUGGUAUGUGGUACCAGUAUUCUUUUGGCCUUGGAUUUCCUCACUUGCAAAAUGAAGGUGUUUUACAGGCUAUUGUCUAAUAAGCAGUUGUACACAGGGCAUUGGUUAUUUUAGAGUGAAAGACAUAGUGCUGUUUCCAAAAUCACUCCAGCUACAGUGUGGAACACUGACCCGAGUGGGGCCAGGCUAGAAGCAGGGAGACCUUGGAGGAGGCUUCUGUGGGUGUCCAGGGAGGAUAUGGUGGUAGCUUGGACUAGGAUGCUGGCAGUGGGAAGUGGAUGUAUUUGAGAUACGAAAUCGAUGGGACUAAGCAGUACAGCCCAAAUCAAAGCACUCAAAUGGUGCAGCUUUGUUAUGAAGGCUGACGAGAUUAGGGAAGGAAGAGGUUAAGAAUUACUCUAUUUUAUCGCCUUCAUUCCCUUUAGCAUUUCUAAAUGAGUGUUGGGGAAGACGUCUUAUACAUUAGGUUUGUUGUAGAAAAGAGGCUAAAAAUGACUGCUUUAAAUUAUGGGGAAACUAGAUUUCCAGCCUUAAGUUUAUGCAAUAAGCUAGUUUUGUUGUGUUUUGUUUUUUUAAGAGAUUUUGAGAGAGCACGUGAGCAUGAGAGGUAGGGGGUGGGAAGGGGAGAGGGAGAAGGGGAAGCAGAGAGAGAAGCUGACUCCCUUCUGAGCAGGGAGCCCAAUGCUGGGCUCCAUCCCAGAACCCUGAGAUCAUGACCCAAGCCAAAAUCAGGUGCUUGACUGACUGAGCCACUCAGGUAUCCCUAAGCUACCUAUUUUAAAAGUUUAAAUUAAAAUAUUACAUUUAACAGGGCUCAAGCUCCCUUUUCAUAUUUUUUCUCUGGUGGACGUCAGGGCCAACAUAAGGAGCUAUAUGCAACGUAAGAUCUUCUGCAGAGUUUUUCACGCCUCACCUUAUUUUAUGGCUGUCUGCCAGCACCACUGUUUACCACUGGAACGACUAAUUGCAGAGAACCACUGUUUACCUUUGGGGAUGACUAAUUUUGAGAAGCACUUCAGAGCUUUGUUUUGGUGCACUUUGAAGCCAUCUGGGCUUGUUUUUUUGAUGAAGGAAACAUAGGAAAGUGGCUUUAUCGGGAUUACAAUUGUAUGUCGCAUUUGGCUGGCUGGGGUUGGGCUGGAGCUGCUUGCCCUUUGCUUUUAAUAGCAUCAGGAACGACAGGAUCGGUGAGCCUGUUGUGUAUGUGAACUGUGGAUGCAUUAGAUACAGCCCAGUCUCUGAGGAGCUCACAGCCUAGCAGCAGAAAUAACACAAAAACUGAGAGACUUGGAAUACAUUAAGUACCAUGUGAGUAAUAGCAUGACAUAGAAGUGCGGAGGUGGAGAAGGAAAGUUCUGAGAAUGGGGAAGUCUUCAGAGAGGUCGUGUCCGAACUCACUCUUAAAAACUGGGUAAUAUCUUGGGACGUGGAGUCAGGGUGAUGCUAGUGGAAGGAGAAAAAAAAAUGCAAGUGCAAAAAGCUUGCUCAGAAAAUGUUUGGACAUCGUCAUUAGAUCAGUUUGGAAGAGAAGAAACAGUGAGAGAUAUGUUGAAGGCGGGGGUUGUUGUAAGGAUUAAAAAGAAUAGUGUCUAGUACAUAGUACACCCCCAGGAAAUGUUAGCUAUCAUGUGAUCCCACCACAGAAGGGGGCCUGAUUGUUCCAUCCCCACCCCACAGAGCAUCCUGCCUGUUUGCCUUAAUCAUCCCCUCUUCUACAUAUGGGGUUUCUUCUCACAUGUGUGCCUGCAGCUUUUGAGCCUCAGACUAGAAAUGCGAUGCUGGGACUUGAGCCAAAUAUGGGGAGGAAGGAAGGCAGGGGAGAAGCAAUGAGGAAGGUGAGUCAGGGAGCCACAUGUCCAGGGGCUGAGGAGUCACCUGUCUGCCGCAAGCUAUGGAUAGGCUGCUGAAGUCAGACACAUUGGAAUGAAUGCAUUCACCCUGCGAUAGACACAUCAGGCCUUGAGGGUUUAGGGAUAUCAGAAGGUUGACGUGGGUUCUGUGUUCAUGGAAUUGAGGUUCAACUCAUACACCUCCUGACUUCUAUCCCUUGUCCAUGACCUUAGGCAGCCUCUCAAGAUUCAGUUUCUCCAUCUGUACAUACGGGUGAACAACUUACAUCUCCUGAAGGAUACUCGUUAGCUUUCAGUGAGUUAACAUACAUAGACUCUCACCACCAUGACUGGCACAUAGGGGAUACCUCAUGCAUUCAAGAGUCUGCAUAGAGGGUAAACUACCAUUUCCCAGUUUGGGUGUGAGGAACUGCUGUACAUUUGCUUUAGUAGUUGAAGUAGAAUGUCCUUAUUUUGAAAAGCUACUCAUUGAUUAAUUGGCAUGUACUGUGUCCUUUCUCUGUUAGGCAUUGUGAUGAGGGCCAGAGACAGUGGGGAGGAUACUGAUGACUAGAGAGUUAAGUACUCUGUCUAGAGACAGAGCACUAGCAAGAGGCAGAAGUGGGCAAGUAUACGGCCAAGCACAUAGUGCUCAGUGUCUGUUACAUGAAUGAAUGAACCAAAGUCGUCGGUGUAUACUCAAUAUUGAUUCCAAAUGCCACUACAUUUUCUUGUUUCCAUAACUGAACAACAGACUCUUCCUGUUCCUUCGGCAUUAACAAAACCAGAAGACUUGACUAGUUGCUGAAUUUUGAUGGAUACAUCUGAAAUUUAAUGAAAUAAGGAAAACUAUAAAAUAAUUUCAGGCCAGAAAUUACUUUUUUUAAGUAAUUCCCAAGGUCUGCUAAAUAUGUUAUGGAACAUAUUUAUCCCUUUCUGGGCUAUCAGUUCCUACCCUUCCUACCAGCGUCCCUGUCUUCCACUUGAAGUGAAUAUGUAACACGUUGGUGGGUGAGGGGGUGGGUGGUUCUACGUACCUGACUCCUGCUGCUUUCUGCCAGUAAGGGAGCUGUGUGUACCCGCCCUCUGGUACAGCUAGGGGAAGAUACAUGGUCCAAGAAGCUCAACCAAUUGCUUAUCACUCUUGAAACUUGCAAUCUUGAAAAAUAAUGAAAAUAACCCUCUAAUAAAUUACUUUCUUGCUCAAGACAA